CUAAAAAAGGUCUCCUUAUCGCCAUGACGUCAGCUCAUCGAGAAAAAAGGAAAGCAACGCCUUAAAUGGGCAAUCAAUAUUGAGGCGGCGUCCUUAUUUGGUGAAAGGCACAAAGAAAGACAAUAAAGCAAGAAGCAGGAAAUGCGUUGACAUGUCUUCCUGCUCACAAGUAGCAUCCUAAGGAAGCAAGAUGUUGUUGUAACAGACCGGGUGCCAGGAUUCUGUCUAUGCAGCUCUUUAACCAGCCGGCAAGAAUCUUCAAUCAAUCAGAGCAGCAAAAAUUCAUUUGCUCAUCUCACUUUAUCCGCCCUCGUUCAACCUCACCCGCAUGGUGCAGUUACAUGAAGGAACUGCACACUUGAGGCACCAUGAGAGGCAGCUUGUGUUUCAGUAUUUAAUUGCACAGUGCAUUAUUGAAACUAGGAGUUGCAUUCCUGUCAGCACAACUUAACUGAUUAUAUGUCUGAGGACUGUGCUGACAUUUCUGCACUAAAAGGUCUCUUAAAAACUAACAGGUUAAUGGCUGGGAUUUCCAUUGUAUGUUAUUUGUAAUGAAAUUGUGAACUCAUUAUGUAUUUGCAAUUCUGUAAUGAAUAAAACACAGAAGAAAUGA